rnacentral:sRNA from 1 species
CCAUCAAUGGCUUCACGAGGAGUCUUGAAGCCCAAACCAAUGUUCUUCCAGAAACGGUUUCCACCUUUUCCAGGUCUCUUUCCCUUUCCAGAUUUCUUCGAGCUUGA